GCAUAUGGCCUGACUGAGAAUCUAACCAGUGACCCUUUGGUUUGCAGGCUGGUGCUCAGUCCACUGAGCCACACCAGCCAGGGCUCUUCAUUGCAUAUUCUUGUUAGCCAACUCCUCAGACUUCCAAGUGAAAUUAAACAUCUUUCUACAGUCAUGUGCAGGGAUAAUGACAGGGAGAAAUACGUUGGGAGAAAUACGUUGUAGGCAUUUUUGCCAUUGUUCGAACAUCACAGACUAUAGUUUCUCAAACGUAGAUGGUAUAGCCUGUUAUACACCCAGGCUGUAUGGAUAGCCUAGCUCCUAGGCUACAAGCCUGUACGUCAUGUUAAUGUACAAAACUGCAUGAGAUUAAAUCAAGCACAAGAGAAAAUGAUGCAAUCACGAGACACAGUAAACACAAGUUCUAAAGUUGCUGCUGGCAUAACAUGACAUACUUUAAAGCAAAAUUUUUUUAUAAGUAGAAAGACUCCACUCUAAGCUAAUGACAUAAAGUAUAGUAUAGUAUAAUAUGUAUAGUAUCGUAUAUACAUAAACUAAUAACAGUUGUUAUUAUCAUUACCAGCUAUUAUACUAUACAUAAUUGUAUUGUAUAUACAUAUUUUUGUAGUAGGUUUGUUACAUCAACAUCACCACAAACACAUAAGUAAUGUGUUACACUACCACUUUAUGAUGACUGUUACCAUUAGCAAUAGAAAAUUUUCAGCUCCAUUAUAAUCUUAUGAGACCACCGUUGUAUAUGCGGUCUGUCAUCAACCGAAACAUCAUUCUGCAGCAUUUGUAUUAAUGUUAUGGGAGUAUUGAAUAUUGAUAGUUAUUAAUAGUGUAAGUUUUAGAAUCAUACAGACUUGAGUUAGAAUCCUAGCUCUUAAUAGCUGUAUGACCUUAAGCAUAAAGCUAAUAACCACUUCAUGGAGCAGAAGUGAAGAUUAAGUGCAAGAUUAAUGAAGAUUAUAGUAAUAUGGCCACAAUGUAUUGAACAUUUAUUACUGGUUGAGCACUGAGCUAAGUGUAAUACUUGGUCCAUAUUGCUCAUGUAAAACAGCUCAGUGCCAGACACAUAGCAGACAUUCGGUAAAGUAAAGCUAGUUAUUUUGUUGUCUUCAUCUGGACUGACCAUCUUAAUGGCAAGAACUAUGCCUUAUUUUUGUGAUCGACAGUAUGGUAGUUCAUCAAUAAAUAGUUGCUGAGUUUUAAUUUAUUUAGUGUGAUUUGAGACAUGCUAGGAGUUCUUUAAGAUGAUAUUCCCUGCUAACUUGACUUCAGUUCCUUUGGGAUUUGAAGGUUUUGAGUUUUCUAUUCAAGCACACAUACCCCUGGAGAGAGAUAACCACUUGUGCUAGUAUCAACAACUACCCCAUGGGAAUUAGUUGUUUACCACCUGCUUUCGAAUCUGGGAAAGACCUUGCAAGGUGAGACUGAGUAGAAGAAGAAGGGAGAGGCAGAGAUCGGAGUACACAGUGUCAUAGGGAACAAAAUUGCUACUUUCCAUUUGCCUCAGAAUUACUUUUU